rnacentral:rRNA from 1 species
CGGGGUGCAGCAGGCGCGAAAACUUUACAAUGCGGGAAACCGUGAUAAGGGGACACCGAGUGCCAGCAUCAUAUGCUGGCUGUCCGGGUGUGUAAAAUACACCCGUUAGCAAGGGCCGGGCAAGACCGGUGCCAGCCGCCGCGGUAACACCGGCGGCCCGAGUGGUGAUCGUGAUUAUUGGGUCUAAAGGGUCCGUAGCCGGUUUGGUCAGUCCUCCGGGAAAUCUGAUAGCUCAACUAUUAGGCUUUCGGGGGAUACUGCCAGGCUUGGAACCGGGAGAGGUAAGAGGUACUACAGGGGUAGGAGUGGAAUCUUGUAAUCCCUGUGGGACCACCUGUGGCGAAGGCGUCUUACCAGAACGGGUUCGACGGUGAGGGACGAAAGCUGGGGGCACGAACCGGAUUAGAUACCCGGGUAGUCCCAGCCGUAAACGAUGCUCGCUAGGUGUCAGGCAUGGCGCGACCGUGUCUGGUGCCGCAGGGAAGCCGUGAAGCGAGCCACCUGGGAAGUACGGCCGCAAGGCUGAAACUUAAAGGAAUUGGCGGGGGAGCACAAGGGCGAUUCGCG